AAUUUUUUGUUGAGAUUUCUGCAACUUAACACAAUAUACUCCCUCAACUUCCAGCAACAGUAACCACAAUAUACUCCCUCAAUUUCCAGGAACAACAACUACAUACACUCCCUCACGUUCCAUCAGUAAAUAAAAAAUAAGAGUUAAGAGUUUUAGGCUUUGCUCCCGUAGUUUCAAGUUCAUGAAAGACAACUUAUUGGCGAAACUUCUGGUGAGUUCAAAGAUGACAGAGACCGUUUCAAGUGAGAAGAUUGAAGCCAUUGAAGGCUAUUUGGUUGGUAUUCUACGAGUUGCGAGGUUGAGGAAAGUGUUGUUAGCAAGAUACGGUUGCAGAGAGAGAGACUUGUGACUAACGGUCUUUACAUGUGGAUUCUGUUGCUGAGGUGAGUCUUCGCAUUGUUUGUGGAGGCUGUCAUCCAACUUUAGUUAUUUUUAGAUUAUAAUUCUGUUCAUUGGGUUUGAAUGCCUGAAAGUUAAACUCAUGUAACUCUGUUUAGAUGCUCCAUGGUCUUGGUGUGGGAUUUGAGGCUAGAGAGUUAUUAUCUAAGUAUUAUUGUUUUCAUAAAUCGUAUUACAAUAAUCGGGUGAAUAAUUACUUUGUGUUUAAUCACUACUUCAACA